rnacentral:tRNA from 1 species
GGUAGCUUAAUGGUAGAGUGCUUGCCUUGCAUGCAUGAGGCCCUGGGUUCGAUUCCUCAGUACCA